AAACCUAAAAUAGCAUAUGAAAACAAUUGCUGUUUUAAAGAUGGAUUCCUAGCAUAACCGAUAAUGAGGGAACCAAAUACAGAUCCAAUUCCAGCACCUGAAAUAAUAAAAUGUUAAAUAAAUAGAUGUAAUUAUGGACUUCAUUCUCAAGUAAGGCAGGAAGUUUGUUGUCAGGAAGUUUAAAAGGCAAAAAGGAUAAGGAAUGCCAUCAUUAGGCAAAAAAGCCCCAUAGCUUCAGCCAAGGCAAAUCCCAAGAUAGCAUAAGUAAAACAUUGCUGUUUUAAGGAAGGGUUUCGUGCAUAACUCAUUAUCAAGGAUCCAAAAACUAAGCCAAUACCAACAGCUGUAAUUUAAAUAUCUAUGUUAAAAAUAUUAGUAUUUUAUGGAUGAGAUUAAUAAAUGACAUGUAACAU